rnacentral:lncRNA from 1 species
CCUCUGAUUACUCGAUAGGACAUUGGAAGUGUACAAAGUAUUUGUGAUGGGUCAGCUGUUGUGGAGAUAGUAGUACCAGCCAUUCAAAACUAAUUACAUGACUAAUCCAACCGUUCAAAAUUAACAUUUACAAGUGUUCUAACUAUUGCUGAAAAAUCAUCGCCUUCAUCAAAAUUGUGCACAUGAAUAAUCGGGUCAUGUCCCCUCUCUGGACUUGAUUUUGUAGCAUAGGGCGGCCAUUCUUCGACGGACUGUCAUUAAUACACAUCAUCCAAACCAUUAAUUAUAACCAAUAACAUGCACUUUAUUCCAAACAUUAAUUUAUGUAAAUAGGUUAAUAUAAUUUUUGUAUCAAAUCAUAGGACCAUCAUUUAAGAUAUGUCCAUAGGUCGGGCCAACUAAAAUUUUAGACUUGUUUGUUACGCCUGGGCUCAACCUAAAAAAUUGGUUUAGAAUUUUACUUAAGGUUGCCCGAAUAAAAAUGUUAAAAUUCAGGUUUAAAUUAAUUUUUAUAUUAUUUUUUUAUAUAUAUAUUAAAAAUAUAAUACAUCAAAAAUACUAAAAAUGUUAAAAUAAAUAUUUCUCAACAAAUUAAAAAUAAAUUAAAAAUAUGUAUAUUUAAAUAACAUUAAUAUAGGUGCAACUUAACAAGCAAAAGUCUCUAAAAUAUUAACAAAAUUAACAAUAAAACAAGAGUUAUACAAUAUCAACAAAAUAGUAGCAAUAUAAUAAUGAAAUAGCAAAAUAGUGAAAACCAACAAAAAUAUAACAACAAAACAGUAAAAAAAUAGUAAGAAAAUAAUUUAAAAAACAGCAGCCUUUUUUUUUGCAUAUUCGGGUCGGGUUGGGCUCGGGGGCCACUCGAGGCCUGACUUGUUUUCUAAACGGGUCUUAUUUUUGUACCCAAGCCUAAUUUUUGAGCUUAUAUUUUUAUCCAAACCUUCUCACUUUUUAGAUGAACAUUUGAGCUAAGCCGAGUGACCCGACCCAUGGGUCUACUCUAUAUGCUUUGUUUCAAUCACCAGCAAUAAUACUACGUAUAAGAAAAUUAGGCUAAGGAGGAACGACUUUGCAUGCAUGCAUAUAUAAUAAAUGAAAAAUUGAAACCAGAAAAAAUAAAAUUAAAAAAAAAAAAGGGAAAGGGAAAGGAAUCAAAGGAUAUAUAUAUUAUAAAAAGCUUUGAUAGCUGAGAAGUGGGGAAUUCUUGGUUGAACAAAAGGAGGCCAUGAGCUCAUCAAUGAUAAAAUUAGUAGAGAGGAUAUAAUGAUAGUAUGGACUCUUCAUUGUUUACAGUUUGUAAUAAAAUUAAUCAAACUUAGGAAUACAAGAAGACGAAACCUUAUUAUAUGAUUGGAGUGGAAAUGAAACACAUUUAUUCGCCAUUUCCUUAUCCCCCGUUCAACACUCUACGGCGACUUCCCCCCUCCAAUGCCUUCCCUUUUUUCUGUUUUGUUUUUUUUUAAAGAUUUUCUUUAUUAAUUUUUUU